rnacentral:lncRNA from 1 species
UGCAAUUACAUUGUGUUGGUGAAAUUAUAAGUAAUUACGGUUAAAAAAUAAGACAUUAAAAAAUAAAUAAAUAUUCUUCGUGGCUAAGGUGUAGAUAUUUGUGCUUUCUUUAAGGAGAUUCAAGCUCACUACGGUAGAAUCUUCACCGGUCCAGCAAUAAUACUCUUGACUUGUUCCCUCCGGGAUACAAUAGCCCAACAACAUUGUAUGACUCGAACAAACUUUGGAUAAGUUGUUGAGUUCAAAGCUCCACCAAAAUGAACACCUUCCUUCAACAAAAAUAAUUCUCUUUUGUAGAGAAUAAGUUGGAGACCUAGAUUU